GACGAACGCUGGCGGCGUGCUUAACACAUGCAAGUCGAACGGAAAGGCCCUGCUUGCAGGGUACUCGAGUGGCGAACGGGUGAGUAACACGUGGGUGAUCUGCCCUGCACUUCGGGAUAAGCUUGGGAAACUGGGUCUAAUACCGGAUAGGAACCAUCUUUAGUGUGGUGGUUGGAAAGUUUUUUCGGUGUAGGAUGAGCUCGCGGCCUAUCAGCUUGUUGGUGGGGUAAUGGCCUACCAAGGCGGCGACGGGUAGCCGGCCUGAGAGGGUGUACGGCCACAUUGGGACUGAGAGACGGCCCAGACUCCUACGGGAGGCAGCAGUGGGGAAUAUUGGACAAUGGGCGCAAGCCUGAGGCAGCGACGCCGCGUGGGCGAUGAAGGCCUUCGGGUUGUAAACUCCUUUCGCUAGGGACGAAGCUUUGUUGUGACGGUACCUAGAUAAGAAGCACCGGCUAACUACGUG
rnacentral:rRNA from 1 species